AAUAUAAACCUCCCUCUGUUCCGUUUUCAUAGUGGUGCAAGGUUUACCUAGAAUAAACCAAUAAGGUCAUAUCAGCCAUCAGAAGAGACGUUGGCGCCUGAUUCAAGCGGAGUUAAGAAAGAGCCCCUAAAUGGGAGCGGCUACGUUUGAGUCGUUUUUGGGGAAAUUGUAAUCGGCGAUUUUACCGAAGAGCACAUUGACACAACUCGAAUGACAACUGUUGGUGGACUGUGCAAUGAUGUGUGUGCUGUUAGUGUUGUUGUGAGUGUUACUCUAGCACCCCCAGAUGGUGAUUUUGUAAAUAGCCAGAACAGUGACAUCACAGGAAGUAGAAAUCAAUGGAUAUUUACAUGGUGCUUGAUGACUGACUGUAAUCCACGUGCAUCUGCCUCCAUCCUUCGUCUUUCGUGGUAUCGUCUUUUCACACUUUCUACAUUAUUAAACCUGUGGACAAAGAGAACUGUCUUCAGUGUGUUAAUGGAAGAAAGGUGUUGAACCUUGCUGCCGGUCCUCUUCUUCGUAGAGCGGAGUGGGAAAGACAGUACAAUGUGAGAGCCAGUCAGGUGGAGCCAGCUGGAACAGGAAGUUGUCUUCUUCGUGGCUUUAGCCCCCAGUAACAUCCGGCCGUUGAUCACGUGACUCAUGUGACGUGAAUAAAGUGUUUCCUUUACAGUUUUGCGAAAUAUCUAUUUCGAGACGGCGGAAAAACCACCUCCUCCCAGCGCGACAACGUUUUUUGUUUUGUUUUUUUUGUUUUAUCGAAAACAGCUGUAUCUACAAUGAACUGCAAUGGAGAGCUGCUCAGAGUGCUGUAUUUUCCACCAGGAGCUGGAACCUGCAGCAAACACUACCACAAGGUGGCGGCUAUGCACCAAAGUCAUCACCACAAGAUUGCACAAUUGGCCCCCUUUAGAGAUUCACUCACCGGGAUGUGGUGGGUGCACAUCACACCUGAUGCAACGAGACGUUGUUUCCUUGCUGGCUGCCGGCAAGAGAGAGCAGAGAGGAUUGGAGAGAGGCCGCUGGAUCGGAGGAUGUAACGACAGGAAGAAUAAACACAUGAAUAAAUAACAGCAAAAGGCAAACCGAGCACAGCCAUCAUUCCGAUUUGGCCGAGCCUCGUUGCCCUGCUCACUCGGUCACUCACAGCUGGGAAAUUCAUGGUAACUUGGUUUAGUUUAGGAGAGGAUGGUAGGGAAAAGUCUCAACGUUGGGCACACCUCGAUGUCGGUAGUCACCAACUGCAUGUGGCAGAUGUCAGCGUUCUGAUUGCUUUUUCCCCAUUUGCAUGCUUUUGUGCACGGAUCAUCAUGUUUAGUUUGAGUAAAAAUUAAAAAAAAGACUACUACUCCCUACUACUAAUUUUGAAUUGGUUCACAUAUUGUUUUGUGUUUUAAAUGUUUUAUGCUCGUCUAGUAUUAAUGUGAGCUGAAUGCCAAAAAUGCAUCCUUUUUUUUGUCUU